rnacentral:lncRNA from 1 species
UGGCUGAGAUGGGAUAAGGCUUUGGGAUCCGUGCAACUAGAUGGUAUGCUUUGAGAUCUGAGAAACAAAUAAUUGAAGGGAUUUUAUUAAAAUAGGAGAAUUGGAUCAUGUGAAAAAAGAGUUGGAACGAGUGGGAAGAAAUUUAGGUGAGCAUGUGAAGAGUCAGAAAUUAAUGGGAAGCACUGGAUUUUGGAGAAGAGUUUUUGGAGUCGACUCUGAAGGAUGUAAAAUUGUGAAAUGAUGCAGUGUAGUUUAGGCUUUACCUAAUUAAGCAUGACUUGACGUGCAUACAUUA